rnacentral:rRNA from 1 species
UACGUAGGGGGCUAGCGUUGUCCGGAAUCAUUGGGCGUAAAGCGCGCGUAGGCGGUCAGGUAAGUCCGGUGUGAAAGUCAAAGGCUCAACCUUUGAAUGUCGAUGGAUACUGCCGGGCUAGAGUCCGGAAGAGGCGAGUGGAAUUCCUGGUGUAGCGGUGGAAUGCGCAGAUAUCAGGAGGAACACCAAUAGCGAAGGCAGCUCGCUGGGACGGUACUGACGCUAAGGCGCGAAAGCGUGGGGAGCGAACAGG